rnacentral:rRNA from 1 species
GUAGUUGACUCGUCGCUACGAGACGACGCUGGCGGCGUGCCUAACACAUGCAAGUCGAGCGAUGAAGUUCCUUCGGGAACGGAUUAGCGGCGGACGGGUGAGUAACACGUGGGUAACCUGCCUUAUAGAGGGGGAUAGCCUUCCGAAAGGAAGAUUAAUACCGCAUAAAGUUGUUGAUUCGCAUGGAUCGAUAACCAAAGGAGCAAUCCGCUAUAAGAUGGACCCGCGGCGCAUUAGCUAGUUGGUGAGGUAACGGCUCACCAAGGCGACGAUGCGUAGCCGACCUGAGAGGGUGAUCGGCCACAUUGGGACUGAGACACGGCCCAGACUCCUACGGGAGGCAGCAGUGGGGAAUAUUGCACAAUGGGGGAAACCCUGAUGCAGCAACGCCGCGUGAGUGAUGAAGGCCUUCGGGUUGUAAAGCUCUGUCUUUGGGGACGAUAAUGACGGUACCCAAGGAGGAAGCCACGGCUAACUAUGUG